UUAGGAAUUUAUGAUGUCACACCUUUUUUUGUCAUCUGAUUUUUUUAUAGACUAGCUUAAACCAUCAAUCCAAAAUGACAACGAUCAGUGUGACAUACAUGAUGUCAUACUACAUCUACAUUCUUUCAAAAAAAUGUAACAAAAUGCAUGAAUUAUGUAGACAAAUUGAUAAUAUUAAAAAGUUUAUUAACGCUGUUUGUAGCCUUAUUCAUUAAUAAGAAGUUUUAAGCAGGGUGCAUACAUGGCAAUAUAAGGAGCAUUUGUCAAUUAAGAGCAUGAUCAAUACAUUGUGCUGCUACUACUAGCUAGACGUAAACAAAGUCAGAGAUAAACCCAUUCUAUGUCUGAUAAACGUAAAAGAUAAACAUAAGAGCAUCUAAUACAUAGUGCUGCUGCUAUACCACUACAAGAAAACAGCGGUAUUCUGACGGACGAUCCGACGGAAAAUGAAUUCCUCGGAAUAUACCGAGGCAUUUCCGAGGCAAUUCCGAGGAAAUACAAAAUUUUGCUUCUUCGGAAUUCCGUCGGAAUAUUCCGACGGAAUUC
rnacentral:lncRNA from 1 species